CACUACCUGUCAGCCUUCUACCGUCCUUUGUGUCGCGGCCUCACAAUGGCGCCGGCGUGGGUGAAUGCCGGCAGGGUAAUUUUGCUUGUUCCAAGAGAUUAGCUUUUUUUUCCCGCAUCGAUGGCGCUAGCAGGAUGCUAAGGACAAGCUGGAGAUGAAGGCGGCGAAGUAUUCUCGGGGAAGGGUGUUGACUUGAAGGCUUAAGAGGGACAAGAAGUUGAAAUGCAAGCUCGCUUUUAAGGGAGAAGCUCAUGAAUAGUCUGCAUAAGCUGCUACAAAGGAUGAUCAAGUUGCCCUUUUUUAUUGUAUUAUUAUGAAUUUCUGCAAAUGUCUAUAAAUUAAAUUUAUACUAGGAUUGCAAAAUAUGCAAGUUGGUGUCUGGAAAUCUUUGGUGUAAUUGUGAACAUUAGGCGGAUGUGAUAAGUAAAUAUGAUAUUGAAAACAUGUGAGUCAUUA